UUUCUCUCUCUCUCUUUGAUGAUCAUGAUGUUCACGAUAAAUCAAGCAGCACUGCUCUUCGUUCAGCUGUUAGUGGUGUGGCAUGUCUUUGCAGAGAUCACUAAAGACGACCACAGAGCUGUGCUGGUGUCCAGAGGAGACUCAGUGACGCUGACUUGCAACAUAUCCAAGACAGAUGCAACACUGAUCACCUGGACCAACAACAGAUCUGUUUUUCAAUAUUCCAUUGUGCUGAAUCGCACCUAUUCAAAUUUCUCAUUUCAUAGACUGAAAAUAAAUCAUGAGUUACCUACAAAGCUAAUUAUUUUUAGUGCUCAGCCUGAAGAUGAAGGACUUUAUACAUGUAGCAUAACAGACAGACGUGGCGUAAACAGCAUUACAUGGAGUUUAACUGUGUCUGAGAACCCAGAAGAAUCCACUUCAUCAAAGUAUUUUCUACACAUCCUCCCACCUGCAAUUGGAUUCCUUCUUUGUUGCAUCACACUGGCUGUCUUUCUCUACAGAUGCUGGACCAGGACCGUGAACCAGGACCUGGAACCAGCACCUGCAUGACAUCAGGACUUUGAGUUUUGUCCAGUAUCAUGUUCAGCUGAGAGGAAAGGUGAUCCCUCCACAACCUCAAAGUUUUGCAGUAUAAAGGCCAGGCAGCACAUUCAGAAACUCAUUUUUAUUUGGGGCUUCUAGUGUGCUGCCAAGAAGACAGUCGAGAUAAAAGAUGAAUAGGAAACAAGGUACAGACUGGAAGGAGAGCUCAAGUGAAAGAUCACAUUGUUUUCUGUUUUCUUGGAAACGUACUUUACUUUUUUAUCUGUACGUGUAAAAUUUUGUGUAAAAAUAUUAAUUUUGACUGUUUUUUAUAUUUUGCUUGUUUCUUCUGUUUCUAUACAUUACAUUAUUACAUUAUUUUCGUCAUAAAUGUAUUAAAUUAGGCCUUUUGCACCUGAUUAUUUUCAUAAAGCUGAAGUUGGAUAUAUGUAAAUUUUUUAAUAAGCAUAAUAAGCAUCCAGCAUAAAACUAAACUCAUUCAGAUUAUGUCUGUUGUAUAAAUAUCUCCAGGUAACUUGUUGGUGAUUUUCAAACAGAUCUGGACUGACAUUUGUGCUGCUACAACUUUCAUUUUCUGUAUCUGCAAAUAAUAUCUGAACAUUUGACUUUUUGGUUAUUUAUCUGACACUGUUGUCUCACAGCAAGAAGGUCCUGGGUUUGAAUCCACCAUCGGGCUGGGACUUCUCUGUGUAGAGUUUGCAUGUACUCUCCGAGUACUCUGACUUCCUCCCACAAUUCAAAGACAUGUCGUUAGUCACGUUACGUUAAUUGGUAAUUCUAAAUUCCCCUUCAGUGUGUCUUCAGGCUCCAGACAUGUGUCAUGCUUUUUGCACCCUUCAUUUGAACUUAACUACUUUUGUUUUGAAUAUGGCUGCUGAGAAUUUAGCCAACAAUAAAAGUGAAAAACAUGAUUCUGGAAGUUGUGUCCAAAAUGUUCAUGAUACUGAAUGUGAAAUUCAACGUCCACUUUGAAGACAUUUCAUUCAAACUGCUAUUUUAACAGCUAGCUCCUAGCUGACCAAGACUGUUUGUUUUUAUACAAAUUGCUAUUUUAACAGCUAGCUGCUCACUGAGCAAGACAUUUUGUACUACUUAGUGAAUUUAGUCUUGUUCUUGGUUUUGUAGCGUAACUAGGCCAAGAACAAGAGUAUGUGGAUCUAUAGAUCCACAUAUGUUGUCACGGUAAUAUUUAGAGUUUGUUAAGAUUCACUAGUUCUCAUAUUAUAAUGGACCUGAAAGACUUGAAUAGAACUAAGAUGUCAUAUGUUUCCAUACAUAUCAACCAUAAUUCAUAUCCCCAAUUUGGUAAAUAAUGAAAUAGAGCAACAAACAAUAUAAACAUGAAGCACAAUAAUCAAAGUUGUGCUACAAAUUGAGCAACUCAAAAAAAUUAUUGCCAGUCACAAUUUUUUUUAUAGAUGGGAAUGUCAAUAUGAGAGUAUACAACAUGUUGCACAACUGUAAAGUGUCAGCUAACAAUCUGAAUGUGGUGGGUAAAGUGUGCAGAUGUGGUUUUACUUCAGCUGAUAACUUUUCCUUCAUUCUGGUGCAUCUUAUAUUUAUGACAUGA